UAGUAGCGGCGAGUGAAGCGGCAAAAGCUCAAAUUUGAAAUCUGGCACUUUCGGUGUCCGAGUUGUAAUUUGAAGAUUGUAACCUUGGGGUUGGCUCUGUCUAUGUUUCUUGGAACAGGACGUCACAGAGGGUGAGAAUCCCGUGCGAUGAGAUGCCCAAUCCUAUGUAAGGUGCUUUCGAAGAGUCGAGUUGUUUGGGAAUGCAGCUCUAAGUGGGUGGUAAAUUCCAUCUAAAGCUAAAUAUUGGCGAGAGACCGAUAGCGAACAAGUACAGUGAUGGAAAGAUGAAAAGAACUUUGAAAAGAGAGUGAAAAAGUACGUGAAAUUGUUGAAAGGGAAGGGUUUGAGAUCAGACUCGAUAUUUUGUGAGCCUUGCCUUCGUGGCGGGGUGACCCGCAGCUUAUCGGGCCAGCAUCGGUUUGGGCGGUAGGAUAAUGGCGUAGGAAUGUGACUUUGCUUCGGUGAAGUGUUAUAGCCUGCGUUGAUGCUGCCUGCCUAGACCGAGGACUGCGAUUUUAUCAAGGAUGCUGGCAUAAUGAUCCCAAACCGCCCGUCUUGAAACACGGACCAAGGAGUCUAACGUCUAUGCGAGUGUUUGGGUGUUAAACCCGUACGCGUAAUGAAAGUGAACGUAGGUGAGGGCUCUUUUGAGUGCAUCAUCGACCGAUCCUGAUGUCUUCGGAUGGAUUUGAGUAAGAGCAUAGCUGUUGGGACCCGAAAGAUGGUGAACUAUACCUGAAUAGGGUGAAGCCAGAGGAAACUCUGGUGGAGGCUCGUAGCGGUUCUGACGUGCAAAUCGAUCGUCGAAUUUGGGUAUAGGGGCGAAAGA
rnacentral:rRNA from 1 species